GCCGUGAUGACUAAGUUGUUAAAGUGUUCGGCUGCUAACCAAAAGGUCAAAAGUUUGAACCCUUUAGCCGCU
rnacentral:tRNA from 1 species